GAUGAACGCUGGCGGCGUGCUUAACACAUGCCAGUCGAACGGAAAGGCCCAAGCUUGCUUGGGUACUCGAGUGGCGAACGGGUGAGUAACACGUGGGUGAUCUGCCCUGCACUUCGGGAUAAGCCUGGGAAACUGGGUCUAAUACCGGAUAGGACCACUUCUUGGAUGUUGUGGUGGAAAGUUUUUUCGGUGUGGGAUGAGCUCGCGGCCUAUCAGCUUGUUGGUGGGGUAGUGGCCUACCAAGGCGUCGACGGGUAGCCGGCCUGAGAGAGUGUACGGCCACAUUGGAAUUGAGAGACGGCCCAGAGUCCUAAGUGAGGCGGCAGUGGGGAAUGUUGCACGAUGGGCGCAAGCCUGAUGCAGGAACGCCGCGUGGGGGAUGACGGCUGUCGGUUUGUAAACUCCAAUCGCUAGGGACGAAGCGUUUUGUGACGGUACCUGGAGAAGAAAGCCCGGCUAACUACGUG
rnacentral:rRNA from 1 species